rnacentral:rRNA from 1 species
GGUAACGGCCUACCAAGUCGACGAUCAGUAGCCGGACUGAGAGGUUGAACGGCCACAUUGGGACUGAGACACGGCCCAGACUCCUACGGGAGGCAGCAGUGGGGAAUAUUGCACAAUGGGGGAAACCCUGAUGCAGCAACGCCGCGUGAAGGAAGACGGUUUUCGGAUUGUAAACUUCUGUUCUUAGUGAAGAAUAAUGACGGUAGCUAAGGAGCAAGCCACGGCUAACUACGUGCCAGCAGCCGCGGUAAUACGUAGGUGGCAAGCGUUGUCCGGAAUUACUGGGUGUAAAGGGAGCGUAGGCGGGAUGCCAAGUCAGCUGUGAAAACUAUGGGCUUAACCUGUAGACUGCAGUUGAAACUGGUAUUCUUGAGUGAAGUAGAGGUUGGCGGAAUUCCGAGUGUAGCGGUGAAAUGCGUAGAUAUUCGGAGGAACACCGGUGGCGAAGGCGGCCAACUGGGCUUUAACUGACGCUGAGGCUCGAAAGUGUGGGGAGCAAACAGGAUUAGAUACCCUGGUAGUCCACACUGUAAACGAUGAUAAGUAGGUGUGGGGGGUCUGACCCCUUCCGUGCCGCAG